GGAAGAGUGGCGAACGGGUGAGGAUCACGUGAGAAACCUGCCCCUCGGUCGGGGACAACUCUUGGAAACGAGAGCUAAUACCCGAUACGCUGUGGAGUGAAAGAAUUUCGCCGAGGGAUGAUCUUGCGUCUGAUUAGCUAGUUGGUGUGGUAAAGGCAUACCAAGGCGACGAUCAGUAGCUGGUCUGAGAGGAUGAACAGCCACAUUGGAACUGAGACACGGUCCAAACUCC
rnacentral:rRNA from 1 species